rnacentral:lncRNA from 1 species
UCCAAAGUUCAGUAUCCGACGGAUAAUCCUUGCUUAGGCCUACGGACAAAUUCAGCAACACAAACCGGAAGAACAUUUCCCCUAAUCAAAUAUCAAAAGCUAGGUUCUUGAUUUUCCGUACGAUAAGGAUCCUGAUUUGUAUAUCAAUCAGCCUGGCUCUGAUGCCAAUUGUUAGGUCCAAAGUAUCGUAGAAGGGGGGUUGAAUACGAUACUCACUACAAUUUAAAAUUCUUUCGAAUCUUGCGGAUAAAUAAAUUGCAGUCCUGUAAUGGGUUUCGUGUUCCGGAUAUUUAUUGGGUCGGUUUCUGAGGAUAUGAAAAUAUUAAACCAACACACAAUAUUUUCCAAGGUAUAUCUGUAUAUUGAUAAAUACCUCGAAGGG